rnacentral:ncRNA from 1 species
AGCGAUGCAUGGAAAGGGAAGAGUAAAUUGCCCGCACAUUUAUAGAGAGGAAACGGUAGCUGGAAAGUUUCCAUUUGUGCACAGUUGAACGUAGCCCAAGAGCAGCUUUAGUGAACUAACAGUAGUUAAAGCCGGUUAAACACCGUUACCGAAUUGAGAGCCGAGAGCCGGUUUGAUCAAGCGCACUUGCUGUAGCGAGCGCUUGACUAUAGACCAUCUCGGAAUUAAAGGUGGUACCGCGAACAUAAAACUCCUUCGUCCUUUUA